AUUCCAGCUCCAAUAGCGUAUAUUAAAGUUGUUGCGGUAAAAAAGCUCGUAGUUGGAUUUCUGUUGAGGGCGACCGGUCCAUACAACGUAUGCGUAUCUGGCUCGGCCUCGGCAUCCUCUCGAUAGACGUUUCUGCGCUUGAUUGCGUGGAGCGGAUCUCGGGACUUUUACUUUGAGGAAAUUAGAGUGUUCACGGCAGGCUAUCGCCAGAAUACAUUAGCAUGGAAUAAUACUAUAGGAUCUUGAUUCUAUUUUGUUGGUUUCUAGAAUUGAGAUAAUGAUUAAUAGGGACAAUUGGGGGCAUUCGUAUCAACACGUCAGAGGUGGAAUUCUUGGAUUGUGUUGCGACGAACUACUGCGAAAGCAUUUGCCAAGGAUGUUUUCAUUG
rnacentral:rRNA from 1 species